rnacentral:rRNA from 1 species
AUUGAACGCUGGCGGCAGGCCUAACACAUGCAAGUCGAGCGGAUGAAGGGAGCUUGCUCCUGGAUUCAGCGGCGGACGGGUGAGUAAUGCCUAGGAAUCUGCCUGGUAGUGGGGGAUAACGUCCGGAAACGGGCGCUAAUACCGCAUACGUCCUGAGGGAGAAAGUGGGGGAUCUUCGGACCUCACGCUAUCAGAUGAGCCUAGGUCGGAUUAGCUAGUUGGUGGGGUAAAGGCCUACCAAGGCGACGAUCCGUAACUGGUCUGAGAGGAUGAUCAGUCAAACUGGAACGGAGACACGGUCCAGACUCCUACGGGAGGCAGCAGUGGGGAAUAUUGGACAAUGGGCGGAAGCCUGAUCCAGCCAUGCCGCGUGUGUGAAGAAGGUCUUCGGAUUGUAAAGCACUUUAAGUUGGGAGGAAGGGCAGUAAGUUAAUACCUUGCUGUUUUGACGUUACCGACAGAAUAAGCACCGGCUAACUUCGUG